AGCCUGGACCUGGAGUGGGACCCCUCGGUGGACGUGGGCGGGUCCACGUCUCAUGACGAAGAGGAUUCAUCGUACUGCAGCGCCAUCACGGGUGUGGGCCAGUGGGAGGAGCCGGGCCGGAGGUGCAGCUGUCAGCUGGGCACACCCAGCAGCUGGCUGGCUGGAUGCGGGAGAGGCACCGGCCACGAGGACCUGAACGCCGUUCCCUUUCGAGGGGAAACGCAGGUGCAGCUGGGCUCCCAGGACGGGCCUUGUCUCUCCCUGGCGACCAGAAGGAAGGUGGAAAUUGUCUGGGACAGUUCCGGGAAUGCCCCUCAGCGGGGCAGCCGGCAUCCCCAGGGCCUGGCCCUGGGGAACGAGGCCUGCCGCCAGACAGAGACGGUGGGCUUUGACCCUGAGCGGAUUGAGAGCUGGCUGGGCCAGACCUGCGUGGAGCAGGGCAAGCUGGAAGUGAUGCAGCCCUGCAAGAGAAGUCAGGCCGGUCCCGGCUCUGAGGACGUGGCAGUCAUCAUUGAGAAGGGGACUAUGUCCCAGCCCUUGGCUUUCUCAGAUCAACCUCGGGCGGGCUCCAGGAUCCUGGUCAGAAUGAAGAGGCUGCUGCUGUCUGCGGCUGGACUACUCCUGCUCCUCCUGGCCGGCACCUCCCUUCUCUCCCGCGCUGAAACGCCCUGCUACGUCCGGUCCUUCCAUUUCAUGCUGAAGUACGUCAACGGGCCACCUCCUACGUAGGCGUGCUGGGAAAAUGCCAACGAGAGCCCACGGCUUCCCCAAUGCCGGGGGCAGCUCCAAGGGGUAGGGGGGCCAUUUCCCACCAUUCAGUGCCGCCCUCGCGUGGAUUUUCCUUGGGCAUCUGCCAAGCCACCUGCUUCUGAGGAAGAUCCCAACCUCCCAGCAUGCCCAGAUAUGGAAGGAGCCUGCCCGUGAAGGAAGCACUUUCGGAUCCUUCCGGGGACUUUGGAAGAAGCUCAUCAGUACUUUCAGAGACCCCCAGAGCUGACCCACACGAACCCAGAAGCUUACGGCUGAAAGGAACCUCAAGAAAUCAGCUGGUCCCACCACUGCACCGAUCGAGGACCCCUUGUGGUCGUUGGCCUUGCUCUGCCAGCCCAGCCCAGCCCCUUGGCAGGUCCACCGCUCCCCAGGGAAUGGGGCAGCUUGGACAAUUCUCCAUCGCA
rnacentral:lncRNA from 1 species